rfam:Methylobacterium sp. Leaf456 contig_3, whole genome shotgun sequence.
AACCGUUCCAGGGAGAUCCCCGUCAAGGGGCUGAGAAACCGCUAGAGCCGUCACCGGCAGCGCGGAAAUCCUUCGAACCUGAUCCGGCUCAUACCGGCGUAGGGAUUGGACCUGACGCGUCGC